rnacentral:lncRNA from 1 species
GCACGCGAGUGUGCCACAACCAACAUUCCUGUGCUGAUAACUAUUACACUAACUUGUGACAAUUGCUGGAACAAAUAUGAGAUUCAAAAGUAAUUCCGUGCAUGUUCUCAAACGAAUGGAAAGCUUAGAAUGUGUUGAACCACGCUGGCGUAUCGUAAAUUCGACAAGAAAGUAAAAAUCUUUUUAUUCAUCUUUGGACACAGUUGGAAAAGCAGAUACGGGUGAUACUUUAAUGAACGUCUCAGCAAAGCAAGACAACUCGUUGCCAACCGCCCGGUCGGUGCCAACUAAUGGCGGCCGGUAAAAGCCCGCUGUUCUAUUUACGUCAGCAGACGAACGCGACCUGUCUCGCCGCCGCUUUCCCAGUUCUUAUUUUGCAGCUCAUACUCCUUGUUCGUACUUUAUAUUCUAUUCAAGUCAACCAAAGUAAAGAUGCAAGUGCGUAACGGCUUCUGUAGUCGUAGUGGUUGAGCGUUGGGCUCACGAUGCGGAGGUCCCAGGUUCGAAUCCCGGUAGGAAAAUAUCACAAAAUUCACUGUGAUCUCUAGUUAGGUUAGGAAAUUACAGGCUAGUCACCUGAUCGUCAGGAAAUAAGACGAUCCAUUAAGCCGUUGGUCCCGUUACUACUUACAGAUGUUACAUGAGCCAUGUCAGGGUCCUUUGGCAGCUUAAUAAUAUCCCUGACAUCUGGGUUGAUGAGGUUGGUGAUGCAACUCAUAACCCACACGAUAGAAGAAGAAUAUUCAAUGCAAGUAAAUAAAAAAAAGUAGCUCGGUUAAAGUUGAGGAAUUUCUUGCGGCGCACCUUUUUUCCUCCGUUCUGAUGCGGUAAUACAUUCCUACCUAUAGUAGUGACAGAAUUGUUUGAUAGAACCAAAUACAGAAUUGUUGUUCUCUUAUUUCAAAAUAAACUUUACGAUUACCACUGUACUAAAAAAAAAGACUAUAUUACACGUACCCUAGCGACUGUUCGUGUUGUACAUUGAUGGCUAUUAAUAGUUUGUCCUUUUUUUACCCACGACGGAACGGAGCAGCGUAUAGGGUAGGGUAUGUGCGUUUAGGGUGAGAGAUGUUUGUUUGUCUGUGCGUUUGUGCAAAAUAAUGUUACCACCUAUCUUCUAAACUAAUGAUCCGAUUUUGAUGCGGUUUUCAAUAACGGGUUUGUGUUUGAUGAGUUCAUGUUAUAAGAUAGGUAUCAUGGCUGUAACUCACUAGGGGGCUCCACAAUAUUAGUACAAAACAAUUCUAUGCAGCUUAAAGUACAACAUGAGACUAAAUAUAUAAAAUAAAAAUACUAUAAUUUUCAUGAAUAUUCUUCACAAAAUUCCGCUUGAUAUCUCUGAUAAUCAUGGUCUGAAUCACCCCUAAAGUUUUCGUUACUGUGUCACUAAUACCUUAUUUACGGUCACGAGUACUAAUAUGUAUACACUUUGAAACCAUGUCACAUUAACUUUUUUGACAAAUUAACCCAUAAGUCUCAUUAAAUGUCAAAUAAGAGAGUGCGACAGGGUUCUAAAGUGGGUACAUGAUAUUGCUCAUGACUGUAGAUACCCUAACUAUUGAUAGAAACUGUGUCGUCUGUACUACUUUAAGAAAGAAACAAAGUAACUUCAUCUAAUAAUGUUAAAUGUUCCUUUUUAUUUCAUUGCACUGGUAAGAUUACUCUUUUUAAAGCGCUGCGGAGAAUACAAGUUAUAUUAUUCAACGUAAUCGUAAAGGUAGGAGUAUUUUAAUACGAUUCCUUUCAAUGUUACGUUAAUAGAGAUACGUGUUUUAAUCUUAGAUGUAUCUUUGGCUGCGACGAAGAGAAAUUCCUCAGUGAAGAAGAUCUCCCAAAAAACCAGCGCCGUGGCAGCGCAUAAUCAGGCAGAGGGUUUAAUUUAUUAUUUAUUAAUCAUAACCUGAUGACUAUAUCCCAAUUAGAGUAGUCAUAGGUACAUCCGUCACAAGAUUAACUAAGUACCCAAACCACACCCUGUCAUUUCAUACAAAAAACCUCAUUUAACACAGACACUUUGACGUUAUCAUACACGCGCAUCUGUGUGUGUGACGUCUGACGCCUAUACGAUUGAUGACUAAAGUAAGACAGAAGGGGGUGAGGUUAACCUAGCUCAGCCGCUAGUGGGGAGCGGAGAGUUGCCGUUCUAUACGUAGUAUUCAUUCCUUAUUCUAUGGCUAAACUAUAGGUACCUACUACGUUACCAUAACCUACUUAUCUAUUAUUAAUUUAUAUCUGUUCACUAUGUAACACACCGAUUUUUACAACGCAUCUAAUCUAAAAAGCAACUGUAAAUAAAACAAACAUACGCAAACACACUCGUAAUCGCGACACCGCAACCAGCUAAUGCAUAAAACCUCAUGCAACUCGCUAACAAAAUCUGUCCCGACCGCGAUGCAGUUACUUAAUACAAUUUAUGCAAUUCCAGCCGACACCUACAGUGAAAAACCGCGAAAGAGCAGCUCGAGGCUCGCGUGCUACAACCACCGUAACUCUAGAUAAAUGUUUAAUGGACACAUCGCGUUACUCCGGAUACAUUAAAAGCUAGAACGUUUAAAAUUUUCCACGUUUACAUUUGGUUGCGUUUUGUGCAGAUAAUAAUGCAGUAACUCGUUUUGUUGGCCUUUUAGCGGCGCCUCGUGGCCAUUUUAGACUAGUUACUCUUGUUCAACGAUAUUUACGUGUUGUCGACACUAAAUUCGCACGGUAAUGUGUGCCAAUAUUUUAAGAUAACGGCCAUUUUGGAACUGAAAACAAACUUGUGUUGCCAUUUUUCAAAUAGGUAACCGUAUCGAUAAGUUCGUAGUAGGUAAAUAAAAAUACUUAUUUACUCACUGAAUACACUACAAAAUUGAACGUCGAAUGAAAUUUAUAAUUGAUUCGGAACAAAGACGAUAAAUUGCAUUGAGUUCCACGUGUACCAAGUUUUUUAUUAUUUAGUAAAAAUACUUACAAUUUUUCUUUUUAAGUAGGAACUUGCUUUUGUUACAUCCUAGUCUCCAGUAUUUGAUCUCAUUGUUGUAAGUUAUACAGAUGUUGUAUGUAAGUAUAGCAGUUAAGACCGUACGUCUCUGUUGUUACAGUAAUGUAAGUUAUAUGCUAAUGCACUAUAAAAAAAAUGUACUACCUAUACUUAUACAAGCAGAAUUAUUUUUUAUUCAUCCUUAAUACAUUCAUUUCACCAUAUUAAUGGCAUACUUAUUUCUUUUAUACAUAAUUAACGUUGUACCGGGUGAGAGCCUUCAGUGCUCCCCAUUUGUCCGGCCGAGUAGUUAAUACCAUCUGCGGCAAAUCUACAAUAAGUCUCGUCAAAGAUAUAUAUAUAUACAUAAUAUAUAUAAACAAAUUACGGUUUAUAAAUUUUCACAAAACUAUGCAUUGUAAAAUGUGAAACAUUCAACUGAAUCGAAUUCAUACUGAUAGUAUAACUUCGAAAGUAUGUACCUGUCUGUCUUUUUGUUACCUUUUCACGCUUAAACCAGUAGACGGAUUCAAAUGGAAUUUUGUUUGAAAAUAGUCUAAGACCCAGAAAACAACGUAAUAAUAGUUUGUCUCGCCAACAUCAUACCUUAAAGGGAUGAAAGGGGUUGAAAAGGAACUAAAAAUACGCGUGAACAGGCAGAGCUAUUAGAAAUAAAUGUAAACUGACAAACAUUUAAUUCAUUAUUACAAGCCAGAAUGCGAUCGCAUCACGGGAAACUGCAAUCAGAACAUUACUAACAAAAUGAACCCGAUAACAAAAUAAUGCAAUAAUACAUUGCAAUUUGCAAUUACGCCAAACACAUAAUUUGGUAAAUAACUUCAUUAUGUAAAAUUACAGAUGUUUAAAUGUUAAUUGUAAUUAAUAAAACACCUCGAAUGCCAUUACCAACCAUACAUUUUACAAUUCGAUUAAUUGCGCUCAAAUAGGCUGGCUUGUUUUCUCAAGUUUUGUACCUCAGCGCAUACCAUUUGUCCGGCCAUUUGCGGCACAUCUACAAUAAGUCAAUUCGAUUACAAAUCAAGUCGAAAAAGUCUGGCUAGAACGGGAUUUGAACCCGUACUCUUGUCAAGGCGCGUCGAACGUGGUAAUUAUUAGUGAUGUUCCGAAUAUCCGUAUCCGUAUCCGUAUCCGCGGAUAUCCGAGAUAAAAGAAAAAUCCGUAUCCGUGUCCGUUACUUUUCACGCAGAUCUUUUACGCAUCUUUUUCAGGUGAUUAAGUAGAAUUAUUAAAUAAAAAACUAUAAAAUUCCAUUCAGAUUGUUAUUAUUUCUUAAAAUCAAAUAUUUGGCACCUUUAUAUUGCAAACAUUUAGAUAGAUAGAUCUUUAUAAUGAAAGCAAGAUAAAAUAUCACUUUUAUAACAAUGAAAUAACUAAAACUUUAAUCUUUUUAUUGACACCAAUCGAAUGAUAUCGAAUAAGAAAAUAAAGAUCCGUAUCCGUAUCCGUAUCCGCGGAUCUUUACACUAAAUAUCCGUAUUCAGAUCCGUAUCCGCGGAUAUACAUUUUUAACGAUCCGGCACAUCACUAGUAAUUAUCAGACUGUGUUUUCUCUUUGUGAGUUAAAUACAUUUUGUUUUUAUAACGGGUGAGUACCCGUGAUUAAGCUUGGGGAAACUACCCGCAGCUCUUGUCAAGCCGGAACGAGCCUGUUAACCAUUACACCAACGGGUCCUCCUCCUGUCCAUGCGAAAUUCUUUCGAUCUUAUGUAUCGUUGUUGAUAGCAGAUCUGCGGGUUCAAGUCCCGUCCGAGUCACAUUUGUGUUUAGAUUUUAAUUAAUUUUCUCUUUGUGAGUUUCCCUAAACACGAGUGAGUGCUAUUAAAACAAAACUCUAUAUGUAUGAUUUUACACAAAUGAGGUAGACUUCCGUAGUCUAAUUAUCGACCUUUGACUUAUAAAGUACACAGCUUCAAAAGUUAAUUAGAUACCAUCAACAGUAGACGGCUGAUUGCUGACAGAAAAUUUAUUAUUCUUAAUUACAGAUAAGCAAAUUGAACGCUCCAGUGAUUAAUUCAUUCCGUUCACACUUUGAAGGGCUUGUCCGUCGGGAGUCGAGGGCCUUAAUAGGGGAAAAACUUGAUCGUAUUUCGGCCGUCACCCUUCGUUAGCCAUAUAAUUUCAAAACUUCGCGGCAAACUGAAAAAGUUACUUAAUACUUUUUGUUAAUUUCUCUUUAAGGCCAUGAAUGCGUUAUACUGACAGUAAAUUUGAAAAGUAAGGUUUAUCUAAGGUCGAUUGCUCAUUUAGUCGGAAGUAUUCAUUGAGUUUUUUGUAAUAAAACAGUUCACGGUUAACAGGGGAUUAAUAAGGCCACAUUGAAUUAAUUCAUCAAUAAAAGCAAUAUUGCUAUUUGACAUUAUUUGUUGAAAUUGCGGAAUUACUUUUAUACGCGCAAAUGUCAUACUAGGUAGGUAUCAGGAACAAAAUCUUCGUGUUUCUUAAUUUUAUCGUAGACAAUCACAUCUAAUUUCCCUUGUAUCAAUAAACCAGUGUUACUAGACAACCAACAGCGGGAAAAGACCGCGAAUGAUUAUAUUCAUAAUCAUUUCAAAGAUGCUCACAAUGGGCGUCCAGUAAAAUUACAUAGUUUAAGCCCAUUACAGAUACAAAGACACUGUAAAACGGUUAAAUAACAGAAAGAUUUUUUUUGUACUCACAACCAUAAAAAUGUUGCUGUUCUGUAGCAUUCCGUAAGAAAAAUUAAAAGCUUCUUUAAACAAAAGCCGGCAACGUCGGGAACGUAAUUAAAUGCGACGUCCCGCGGGAAAUCCGCGGUGGACAGGGCCACACUCAGGCGGGGCCGCAUUAUACCAACUAUCAUAAUACCACGGAAUAGAAGACAGAGUUUGGAAGGGUCAGGUGAGCGCGAAAAGUAGUAGUUCAACUUCAACUUUGCACUCCACUCGUCCACAAACUUUACGACCCAUGGAGCUCCGCGAAAAUGUAUUAAAGGGUCGUCUUGCGUAUUAUGACCUGCAGGGCAAUAAGUCAAAUAUCGACUGUGACAAGGACAUCCCUCCUUAUCACAGGAAAGCUAAAAACUUCAGUAUGAUCGGCUGUUUCUGAAAAAAAUACUUUUGUAUGCAGUGUCUUACGAAAAGUUAUUAUAAAAUUGCAGCCCUUUACAUAAAAUAUAUAUUGCUAUGGAAUUAUAAAUGACCAUGGAAUUUGAGUAGUAGACCUAACGUAGUUAUCUGUUUGCAGAAGUAUUAGUAAAAGAGAGUAGGGUUGAACCAGCGACAGCGGUUCUCACAGAAAAUACGCGUUAGGGCCUUUCUAUCUUAUUUCUUGUAUUCCGUGCAUAAUACACACACACUCACACAUACAUACUUACAUUAAGAUUACACCCGACAUAUCCCUUCACACCACUUUCGCACACAACGCAUAACAUAAAAUACUUUAUAAAAUAUAUGCAUACUAACGUUCCAUCUCACCCGCGAUCAGCCGAUCUCAUCCGCGUGGAUUUCGAUUUUGGUCUCUGAAAAAUAUGCCUAUUGUCAUCCAAAUCGGUCCAGCUGCUUAGAAAACAAUUUCGUAUUCAGUGGUAAAUUUAGGGCCAGACAUGCCAAAUCACCGAACUCUUAUAUGAUGUGUAAUAACUUGUAAUACAAUAACUACAUAACAUUUUGUAUCCACAUUAAAUAUGUGGGACAUCGUUAGUUUAGUCUGACUUCAUGUUCCCAUUGAUAAAAAGUUUUAAGCCACACAGCUGUGACUAGUGAUGUGCCGUUGUUCCUAAAGUGGGUAAGUUCCUGUUAAAAAACUCUUCUUUUACAGGAAAAAACAAUUCGACUGAAACAAACUCAUAUUAGACAAAACUAUUAUUGUUAUUUUUCUUUAACUUGAACAAUAGCGAAAUGCCACAUCUGUGAAUUUGGCCACCGAACAGCUGUACAGUCCUGUAUUCGCAACGUAAGACCGGUUUGUUGAUGAGCGACUACAUGUAGCAGCCUACUACUGAAGGUCAAUGUAUGAUUUCUGUUUGGUACCUACCUGUUUUCUAUUAUAAUUAAGUAAGCACCUCGGUGAAUGGUAAAGAUUUCUUUUGUGUAAGUUCUUUAAAUGUAAUAAUGUAAAAGCGUGGCGUAUGCCGAAGAAGAAGGCAUCGAGACAAACCUGUUUAGGUUUAGCGAUGUUUGUAAACCAAUCUAUGUGUAAUUUAUGAAGUGUUAUAAAUAAAAAAAAGGUUAAUGUCCGGAUUGCCCUGGGCCAAGGCGUUAAGCAUCCACAUCGCGCGAGUAACCGGCGAGUACCAACCUCGAUUGGUUCUCGACAGUGGGACUUUAAACAUUUGCGGUAGUAUGAGUGACCCUAUCCUAAAGACAAAGCUAAAGCUCUUUUACAUAAAUUUUGCGCCUUCUUACUGCCGUAAAAUGUACCCAAAGGAACUUUCCUUAGGAUGCGACAAACAAUACAAUUAUAAAUCAUAUUGGAAUUUAAAUCGACUUCGCUUCGCCUAAGUUUUAAACUGACAGCCAAUAUAAAAGCGAUAGAGCGUCGGACAUAACUUAUUUAUUACGAUGUACGAUAACCAUAGAUCUGGAAGAUCGCCAACUGGGUGUUCAGCACACUUUAUUUGUUUCUAUUGCUUCAGUUUAACAUUGCCAAGGCUUUGGUGGACAGCCUGCAUUUAUGCUCUCUUAGAUUACAAUCAGUAUAUCGCACUUAGGUAUAUAUGGUGAUAAUUACGUCACACAUCAACACGCUUGGUGUUGUAUAGUAUUGUGUAUACAUUCUAUAUAUACAAAUAAUACAUUAUUACCAAUAUAAUAUUUAUCAUAUAUAAACAUAAAUAAAAUAAAAUAUAUAUUUUUUUAUUA